UCUUGAACAUCAUGUGCUGUUCCAACCCCAGCCAGCCACCCAGGAAGGAAGCAUCCUGUUCCUUUUCAACAGACGGCCUGGCCGGCCACAUGGCCCCGCUCUUGACAAGCUCUAUCUUUGCCAAGACUUCAUGAGAACGUGUGUCAAAGUCCUGGGCCUUGAUGCAAAGCUGAAGAAGGCUGAAGAUCAGUUGUGCUCUUCUGUGUGAAUAUUACGGUUUCCAAAGUGCUGAACUGGGUCAUGUUCUCCACUUUCCUGGAGACUCAGGAUGGAGGAGACAGGACUGGGAAGAGUUGACUCUCCCUGGAGUGACACUGGGGUAGCCUGGCACAUCCUGUCUGCUGUGCUCCCUGGAAGAUGCUCUGCCCCACCCCUGCACCUGUUACUGCCUUGUCCUCAGCCCCCUUCUCCCUUAUCACCAUGGCUGGUCUUUGUCACAGUGCUUUGUGGCGUUGGACCCAUCACAAGGGUCGAUAAAUGUUUGAAUGAAUAAAGAAUGAGACUUUGCUGAUAAUGUCCUGGUUCUGAGCCCAGACCUCCAACACUUCCACUCUUCUCCUGGAACCUGGGCACGCAGCUGGCACACACCAGCCCAGACCAGCCUGCUGGAGGAGGAGGGGCCACGUGGAACAGAGAUGAGCUACCCCAGCGGAGACCCUCCCACACCAGCCAGCCUCCUGAAGAUGCUUGAAAGAGCAGAUGAGCUGAACCUGGCCCAGAUUAGCAGAACCACCAAGCUGAUCUGCCAAUCAGUGAGCAAAAAUAAAUGGUGGUUGUUUAAAAUAA